GAUUCACUAGCUCAGCUGGUAGAGCACAUCCCUUUUAAGGAUGGGGUCCUGGGUUCGAGCCCCAGGUGGAUCA
rnacentral:tRNA from 1 species